rnacentral:rRNA from 1 species
UAGCUUGNUACCUGNCCUAGCGGCGGACGGGUGAGUAAUGCUUAGGAAUCUGCCUAUUAGUGGGGGACAACAUUCCGAAAGGAAUGCUAAUACCGCAUACGCCCUACGGGGGAAAGCAGGGGAUCUUCGGACCUUGCGCUAAUAGAUGAGCCUAAGUCAGAUUAGCUAGUUGGUGGGGUAAAGGCCUACCAAGGCGACGAUCUGUAGCGGGUCUGAGAGGAUGAUCCGCCACNCUGGGACUGANACACGGCCCANACUCCUACGGGAGGCANCAGUGGGGAAUAUUGGACAAUGGGCGNAAGCCUGAUCCAGCCAUGCCGCGUGUGUGAAGAAGGCCUUUUGGUUGUAAAGCACUUUAAGCGAGGAGGAGGCUACUUGGAUUAAUACUCUAGGAUANUGGACGUUACUCGCAGAAUAAGCACCGGCUAACUCUGUGCCUC